AGAGUUUGAUCAUGGCUCAGGAUGAACGCUAGCUACAGGCUUAACACAUGCAAGUCGAGGGGCAGCAUUGGAGUAGCAAUACUCAGAUGGCGACCGGCGCACGGGUGAGUAACACGUAUCCAACCUGCCGCUUACUCGGGGAUAGCCUUUCGAAAGAAAGAUUAAUACCCGAUGGUAUAAAGAGUUCGCAUGUUCUCUUUAUUAAAGAAUUUCGGUAAGCGAUGGGGAUGCGUUCCAUUAGAUAGUUGGCGGGGUAACGGCCCACCAAGUCUACGAUGGAUAGGGGUUCUGAGAGGAAGGUCCCCCACAUUGGAACUGAGACACGGUCCAAACUCCUACGGGAGGCAGCAGUGAGGAAUAUUGGUCAAUGGACGAGAGUCUGAACCAGCCAAAGUAGCGUGAAGGAUGACUGCCCUAUGGGUUGUAAACUUCUUUUAUAAGGGAAUAAAGUGAGGGACGUGUCCCUUUUUGUAUGUACCUUAUGAAUAAGGAUCGGCUAACUCCGUGCCAGCCGCCGC
rnacentral:rRNA from 1 species